rnacentral:rRNA from 1 species
GACGAACGCUGGCGGCGUGCCUAACACAUGCAAGUCGAACGGUGAAGCCCCAGCUUGCUGGAGUGGAUCAGUGGCGAACGGGUGAGUAACACGUGAGCAACCUGCCACUGACUCUGGAAUAAGCGCUGGAAACGGCGUCUAAUACUGGAUACGAGAAGGGUCCGCAUGGGCACUUUCUGGAAAGUUUUUCGGUUGGGGAUGGGCUCGCGGUCUAUCAGCUCGUUGGUGAGGUAAUGGCUCACCAAGGCGACGACCGAUAGCCGGCCUGAGAGGGCGACCAGGCAGAGUGGGACUGAGAAACGGACGAGAAUAGGAGGGGAGGAAGCAGUGGGGGAUAUGGGAAAGUGGGGGAGAGCAGGAUCAAGAAAUGCCGGGUGAGUGAUGAAGGCAUUAGGGUUGUAAAGCUCUGUGAAACGGGAUGAGAAUGACAGUACCGGGAGAAGAAGCUAGGGCUAACUCCGUG